AAGGGUAUAGCUCAGUGGCAGAGUGCAUGCUUAGCAUGCAUGAGGCCCUGGAUUCUAUCCCCAGUACCUCCA
rfam:Camelus ferus unplaced genomic scaffold scaffold951, whole genome shotgun sequence.